GAUGAACGCUGGCGGCGUGCCUAAUACAUGCAAGUCGAGCGAACAGAUAAGGAGCUUGCUCCUUUGACGUUAGCGGCGGACGGGUGAGUAACACGUGGAUAACCUACCUAUAAGACUGGGAUAACUUCGGGAAACCGGAGCUAAUACCGGAUAACAUAUUGAACCGCAUGGUUCAAUAGUGAAAGGCGGCUUUGCUGUCACUUAUAGAUGGAUCCGCGCCGUAUUAGCUAGUUGGUAAGGUAACGGCUUACCAAGGCAACGAUACGUAGCCGACCUGAGAGGGUGAUCGGCCACACUGGAACUGAGACACGGUCCAGACUCCUACGGGAGGCAGCAGUAGGGAAUCUUCCGCAAUGGGCGAAAGCCUGACGGAGCAACGCCGCGUGAGUGAUGAAGGUCUUCGGAUCGUAAAACUCUGCUAUCAGGGAAGAACAAAUGUGUAAGUAACUGUGCACGUCUUGACGGUACCUGAUCAGAAAGCCACGGCUAACUACGUGCCAGCAGCCGCGGUAAUACGUAGGUGGCAAGCGUUAUCCGGAAUUAUUGGGCGUAAAGCGCGCGUAGGCGGUUUUUUAGUCUGAUGUGAAAGCCCACGGCUCAACCGUGGAGGGUCAUUGGAAACUGGAAAACUUGAGUGCAGAAGAGGAAAGUGGAAUCCCAUGUGUAGCGGUGAAAUGCGCAGAGAUAUGGAGGAACACCAGUGGCGAAGGCGACUUUCUGGUCUGUAACUGACGCUGAUGUGCGAAAGCGUGGGGAUCAAACAGGAUUAGAUACCCUGGUAGUCCACGCCGUAAACGAUGAGUGCUAAGUGUUAGGGGGUUUCCGCCCCUUAGUGCUGCAGCUAACGCAUUAAGCACUCCGCCUGGGGAGUACGACCGCAAGGUUGAAACUCAAAGGAAUUGACGGGGACCCGCACAAGCGGUGGAGCAUGUGGUUUAAUUCGAAGCAACGCGAAGAACCUUACCAAAUCUUGACAUCCUUUGACCGCUCUAGAGAUAGAGUCUUCCCCUUCGGGGGACAAAGUGACAGGUGGUGCAUGGUUGUCGUCAGCUCGUGUCGUGAGAUGUUGGGUCAAGUCCCGCAACGAGCGCAACCCUUAAGCUUAGUUGCCAUCAUUAAGUUGGGCACUCUAAGUUGACUGCCGGUGACAAACCGGAGGAAGGUGGGGAUGACGUCAAAUCAUCAUGCCCCUUAUGAUUUGGGCUACACACGUGCUACAAUAGACAAUACAAAGGGCAGCUAAACCGCGAGGUCAAGCAAAUCCCAUAAAGUUGUUCUCAGUUCGGAUUGUAGUCUGCAACUCGACUACAUGAAGCUGGAAUCGCUAGUAAUCGUAGAUCAGCAUGCUACGGUGAAUACGUUCCCGGGUCU
rnacentral:rRNA from 1 species